GUGAGUUGGGGUGGGCAGUCUAUGUUUGAUUUUCUAUGAUUUGGGGAUUUCUAUGUUUCGGCCUAGUAUGGUUCUCAAUCAGAGGCAGGUGUCAUUAGUUGUCUCUGAUUGAGAAUCAUACUUAGGUAGCCUGGGUUGCACUGUUUGUUUGUGGGUGAUUGUCUAUGUUAGUGGCUUGUGUCAGCACAGGUCUCAUUUAGCUUCACGAUUGUUUUGUAUUCAGUGCUUUCUUUUAUUAAAUACUCAUCAUGAACACAUAUCACGCCGCAUUUUGGUCCUCCGAUCCUUCUCGCCUCUCCUCUUCAGACGAAGAAGAGGAUGACCGUGACAGUGAUCGACGGUGUCAAAAGCAGCACUAAGGUCUAGGAGCACGAGGACAGAUGCAGAGCCUUCGUCUGACGCCAUUAAAAGGACAAUGACCCAACACACCGCCAGGCUGUGUAAGGGCUAUUUGACCAAGAAGGAGAGUGAUGGAGUGCUGCAUCAGAUGACCUGGCCUCCACAAUCACCUGACCUCAACCAAAUUGAGAUGGUUUGGGAUGAGUUGGACCACAGAGUGACGGAAAAGCAGCCAACAAAUGCUCAGCAUAUGUGAACUCCUUCAAGACUGUUGGAAAAGCUGUCACCAAGGCAAAGGGUUGCUACUUUGAAGAAUAUAAAAUAUAUUUGGACUUGUUUAACACUUUUGUUACUACGUGAUUCCAUAUGUUAUUUAAUAUUUUGGAUCUCUUCACUUCUCUUCUGCAAUGUAGAAAAUAGUAAAAAUAAAGAAAUCCUUGAAUGAG